rnacentral:rRNA from 1 species
AUGCACGCUGGCGGCGUGCCUAAUACCUGCCAGUCGCGCUAACAGUCGAGGAGCUUGCUCCUCUGACGUUAGCGGCGGACGGGUGAGUAACACGUGGAUAACCUACCUAUAAGACUGGGAUAACUUCGGGAAACCGGAGCUAAUACCGGAUAAUAUAUUGAACCGCAUGGUUCAAUAGUGAAAGACGGUUUUGCUGUCACUUAUAGAUGGAUCCGCGCCGCAUUAGCUAGUUGGUAAGGUAACGGCUUACCAAGGCAACGAUGCGUAGCCGACCUGAGAGGGUGAUCGGCCACACUGGAACUGAGACACGGUCCAGACUCCUACGGGAGGCAGCAGUAGGGAAUCUUCCGCAAUGGGCGAAAGCCUGACGGAGCAACGCCGCGUGAGUGAUGAAGGUCUUCGGAUCGUAAAACUCUGUUAUUAGGGAAGAACAAAUGUGUAAGUAACUAUGCACGUCUUGACGGUACCUAAUCAGAAAGCCACGGCUAACUACGUG